GCCACCUGAAAUUUCCUGACACAUGUUAACAAAAGCCAUUGUCUUUUACCAUCUAUUUGAGAAGCUUCCAAACUCAUACCUAUGCCUGCAUCUGUCAUCUCAUCUUUUCAUUUGUACAGAAGUGGUAGUACUUGGCUGUAAUGAUUAUGCCAUCCUAAGCUAUACAUAUUUGGAGUAGAAGUUGCGUUGUCUAGAGGACCCUUGGAGUUACUCUACUUUCAUAUUUGGAGAAUACAUCUACCUAGAUUUUUUUUCCAUUUCAUUUACAACCAUAUUAAUGUGCCAUCUACAGAUUAUUGCCAAAAAGUUGUACGGUAAAACUAUUCAUUGAAUAUUUCCUUUGGUCAGUUUGUGUAGGGAGCAUGAAUUCAAGUUGUGUUGUUCUUUUGUUAAAAAGUGUCCGUACUUUAGUUGUGUUGUGGACAUGGAAGAUUUGGUAGAUAACAUUGACUAUGUGCAUUCUAUUAUUUUGAUUUUUAUAUUGUUUCUUAUUGUGAAAUUUUUUGACUUGGAGAGUGCUAAAAAUUAUCGGAUUGUUAAACUUGGGAUUGACUCUACCAAAAAUGGCUUAAGUCAAUUGGGUUUGGCUUUCCCUUACUUAUAUUCUCUUUUAAUUCUUUAUAACUAACCAUAAUGGGACUCCAACACUCUCCCUCAAGUGCAACUGACUAUAAAUAAGUUUCUAGAUGCAAUUGUCACUUGUAUUACAUGUGAUGGCUCAUAUAGAGUCUUGCCUCUUCUUUUGUAGCUUGGCUCUACA
rnacentral:misc_RNA from 1 species